UGCCUGUCUGCCCACCCACCAUGCCCUGCCACACACAUACCCUGUGCCAUCUCCCGCUUCAGCAGCCCCAGUGAGAUUCCCCCAGGGAUGCUGGGGCUCGUGGGCAGUGCCACCGUCUCACCAUUGGCUGGCAUGUAGCAGCUGACUCCUGGGCCCAGGGAAGAAGAGAGUGCCUCAGUCCAGGAAGGCCAGUCUUAUCUCCACUGACUCUGAAGGUGGACCCCACCUGGUGCCACUCCUGUGGGCAACCCUGGCCCACCCCACCCUCUGCCUACGGAAUUCCUGCUCGAUCUUCUGCUUCAGGAACUCCAUCUUCUUGGCUUCACCGUGCACAAGCAGCACGCUCUGUGGCUCAGCCUGGCCUACCAGCUGCAUGAUGCCCUUGGCAUCUGCGUGGGCGCUAAACGACAUGUAUUCCACCUGCAUCUUCACCUCCAGCUGCAGGCAACGGGCACAGAAGACACAGCAUCCUCUACUAAGAUCGUAGCCACAUGCCUCAGGCAGCACAAGGACAAGGCAGAUCAAAGGACAUCUCUCUGGCCCAGGCUACCCCACCUCUGCCCAACCUCAUAGGGUCUCUGUAGAGCCGAGACCCUCACCAUGUUCUUCUCAUUCCCUGCCCACUUCCGGAAGAUCUGCAGGGACUGGCCUGCGUGCAGCAUCCCUGGUGUGGCAAACACGACCUGCAAGGCAGACAUAGGUGAGUCAGCACAAGAGAUACACUGCCACGGGCCCGGCCUCAGACCCCCUCAGACAGGCAGGGACUAUCAGGUGCCCUCAAGCAUCCCCCAGACAUGGCCAGUGAGCGUGCAUGUAGACACACUGGCCGCCCCCCACUGCAAGGCCUCACCAUUGGACCUGGGUUGUCUGCAAAUGCCCGGUCGAAGGCUUUGAUGUGCUUAAACUCAAACAUGUUUCUCUGGA